rnacentral:rRNA from 1 species
AGACGACGCUGGCGGCGUGCUUACACAUGCAAGUCGAACGGUAAGGCCUUCGGGGUACACGAGUGGCGAACGGUGAGUAACACGUGGUGAUCUGCCUGCACUUUGGGAUAAGCUGGGAAACUGGGUCUAAUACCGAAUAUAACCUGCUGGUCGCAUGGCUGGUGGGGGAAAGCCUUUGCGGUGUGGGAUGGGCCCGCGGCCUAUCAGCUUGUUGGUGGGGUGAUGGCCUACCAAGGCGACGACGGGUAGCCGGCCUGAGAGGGUGACCGGCCACACUGGGACUGAGAUACGGCCCAGACUCCUACGGGAGGCAGCAGUGGGGAAUAUUGCACAAUGGGCGCAAGCCUGAUGCAGCGACGCCGCGUGAGGGAUGACGGCCUUCGGGUUGUAAACCUCUUUCAGCAGGGACGAAGCGCAAGUGACGGUACCUGUAGAAGAAGGACCGGCCAACUACGUGCCAGCAGCCGCGGUAAUACGUAGGGUCCGAGCGUUGUCCGGAAUUACUGGGCGUAAAGAGCUCGUAGGUGGUUUGUCGCGUUGUUCGUGAAAACUCACAGCUUAACUGUGGGCGUGCGGGCGAUACGGGCAGACUGGAGUACUGCAGGGGAGACUGGAAUUCCUGGUGUAGCGGUGGAAUGCGCAGAUAUCAGGAGGAACACCGGUGGCGAAGGCGGGUCUCUGGGCAGUAACUGACGCUGAGGAGCGAAAGCGUGGGGAGCGAACAGGAUUAGAUACCCUGGUAGUCCACGCCGUAAACGGUGGGUACUAGGUGUGGGUUUCCUUCCUUGGGAUCCGUGCCGUAGCUAACGCAUUAAGUACCCCGCCUGGGGAGUACGGCCGCAAGGCUAAAACUCAAAGGAAUUGACGGGGGCCCGCACAAGCGGCGGAGCAUGUGGAUUAAUUCGAUGCAACGCGAAGAACCUUACCUGGGUUUGACAUGCACAGGACGCCGGCAGAGAUGUCGGUUCCCUUGUGGCCUGUGUGCAGGUG